rnacentral:rRNA from 1 species
GAUGAACGCUAGCUACAGGCUUAACACAUGCAAGUCGAGGGACCGGCGCACGGGUGUGUAAUAUGUAUCCCUCCUUCCCUUUACUCGGGGAUAGCUUUUCGACUGAAAGAUUAAUACCUGAUGUAAUGGACGGGGAUGCGUUACAUUAGGUUGUUGGUAAGGUAAUGGCUCACCAAGCCUUCGAUGGCUAGGGGUUCGGAGAGGAAGGCACCCCGGAAUGGAACAGAGGCACGGUCCAAACUCCUACGGGAGACAGCGGUGAAGAAUAUUGGUGAAUGAGCGUUAGCCUGAACCAGCCAAGUAGCGUGAAAGAUGAAGGGGUAUGAGACGUAAACUUCUUUUAUAUAAGAGUAGGUAUUAUAUGAAUAAGGAUCGGCUAACUCCGUGCCAGCAGCCGCGGUAAUAC